ensembl:lncRNA
UGAAGUUCAUUAGAGCUGGACUAUUAUUUCCCUGCCAGAAGUGUUUGGAGGGACAUUUUAGUAGGUUGCUUGCAAGUUGUAUAUUAUGUGAACUGUAUUGAGGUGGGGUGUACUAAUGACAUGUGGCCGUGAAGACUGUGGACAUUUUAAGGCCUUUGUUGUGUCGAUGAACACCCCCCACAUUCAUACCCUCUGCACUCAUCCACUAGAAAAUAAUACAGAUUAUUGCAAAUCCUAUGUUGAUGACUGGGUUCGUUCUUGUAUGAAGUUGCUGUUGAAUUGCUCUGCCAUUAUUAGUAUUAGUAUUAUUGUAUGAGGUAUUCUUGUUGGGGUUACCCCUGUGUUGUGAUGUGGGUUUUAUAUGGUGUGUAUUCUCUUUUCUCUCCACUGGCUAUCUGGUAAACAGGCUACACUCUAGGCAGUCUCUUCUGCUGAUGUGUGUGUGUCUGGUAGUGGUACUCUCUCUAUUCUACUGUUUUCCUUUCGGCAUGGUUAAUACCUGCCUGGCGCCCGAACAAAAUCUUUCUUUACCCUCUCUAAUAAAUACCGCUACAAGGUCACCAGUUUCCCCUGACUCAUCUUAGAGAGACUGGCAUCACUUAAAGAUGUGCUACAUGAUUAGGAUUAACCAGUUUCCCCUGACUCAUCUUAGAGAGACUGGCAUCACUUAAAGAUGUGCUACAUGAUUAGGAUUAACCAGUUUCCCCUGACUCAUUUUAGAGAGGCUGGCAUCACUUAAAGAUGUGCUACAUGAUUAGGAUUAACCAGUUUCCCCUGACUCAUCUUAGAGAGACUGGCAUCACUUAAAGAUGUGCUACAUGAUUAGGAUUAACCAGUUUCCCCUGACUCAUCUUAGAGAGGCUGGCAUCACUUAAAGAAAGGAUACAAAAGUACCGGAGAAUCUCUUUAACCAUCUCAUUCACAGCUCCUCCUGUUAAAGUUAGAACAUUAAAGUGAAACUCUUCUCUCACUGUCAGCAGUUUCACUGACUGCCUGAUGGAUGAAUACUCAUAACAAUUAUCCAGUGUACGGCUGAGGGAUGGAAGGAUGGAGGAGUGAGAGUUGGAGAAGUGUAGAAACAGCCGACUAAUCGUCCUCUGACUGUGAAGGGUAUUAUCUAUAGGACACUCCCAGGCUGGCCCUCAAAUCCAAAUGAAUAAAGACAGACCACCGAACCUCUCCUCUCCGCCAUCUCUCCCUCCAUCUAUUCACCUUAAUAGAGGUCAGAGGUCAACAGAACUACAUAACAGCUGCACCUCUCCAGAAACGUUCCCUCUCAGCAUCGUAAACAAACGAAGAAGAACAAGGCAGAAAGAGCUGAAGUGCAGUAGUCCUCCCAUGUAAUGCCUCCUCCCUGUGUUCAUGUGUUCUGCCUUUGAGAGUGGGGACGCCAAAGGAAACAUCCAGGGAGAAGAAAGGGGAGAAAAGGGGAGGAAAGGGGAGAAAAGGGGAGAAAAGGGGAGGAAAGGGGAGGAAAGGGGAGAAAGUCAUUUGAACAUGUCAGUGGGGAGAUUAGAGGGUAAUCACAGAGAGGAAAGAGGAGCACUGACUCAACGAAAAAGAGGAAGUACACUAGAGAGAGAGAGAGAGAGAGAAAGAGAGCUGCCAGGGUUUUGUUCGGAUUGAGUAGGAGUGGUCUGGGUGUUUCUAGGUAAGUUAGCCCCAGAAUAAACAGCAGUGCUGGUCCCUGUGCCAGGCUUGGCUAAUGUCUUCUUAUUUUCAUACUGUUAUUUAGUGUCAUUGGGACAGCAGCAGGCCUCUAGAGAGGUGGGAUAUGGUAAUGGAGAAGGGUCUGGUUCAGUCCACGAAGUGUGUGUAUGUCUGUUAGCGAUGCGCGGGUUGACUCAUAACCUACAGUCCUCUCAGUUGUAUCCGUAGGGCGGG